rnacentral:rRNA from 1 species
UACGUAGGCAGCGAGCGUUGUUCGGAGUUACUGGGCGUAAAGGGUGUGUAGGCGGUUGUUUAAGUUUGGUGUGAAAUCUCCCGGCUCAACUGGGAGGGUGCGCCGAAUACUGAAUGACUUGGAGUGCGGGAGAGGUGAGUGGAAUUCCUGGUGUAGCGGUGAAAUGCGUAGAUAUCAGGAAGAACACCCGUGGCGAAGGCGGCUCUCUGGGACGGUACUGACGCUGAGACGCGAAAGCGUGGGGAGCGAACAGG